UCGGGCCGGUCACGUAGCUGUUGACGAGUUGGUGAACUUGUCUUAGCUUAGAUUUCACGUUAUUCAUGCCUACAUGAGCUGCAUACAACUGCUCUAAUCGCUAGGAUGUGGAUGGACAUUGAUUUAAUUCCCAUUCAGCAAUUGGACUGAACCUGUACUGUAACACAGUAUGGAUGAGCUUCAUUGAAUUCCUCCAAGAGCUCUGUACUCUGUUCUGAUCAUUUUGAAGAUGCUUGCUUGACAGAACUGGGCAAACGAUUCGUCUUAGACAGGAUGCUGUCCCAACCAUAUUUGAUAUCCCCCCUCGUCUUCAGAAGAAUUCACACAAGCCAGGGAAACCCCCGGAAGAAAGACGUUUCGAUUCAGCGAACAACCUCCCAGAUACUGCAAAGACACCUGUACCAAAGUCCUCAGCACUUUCAUUUCUCAAGGACCACUACUACUCAAUACCAGAAAGUCCAGGAGGGGUAAAGUGGAAGUUAACAACAAUAAUGGACUUUAUUAAAAACUUGGAGAAGAGGCUGGAGACCACACAGAAGUGUAGAUUACAUGUACUUGCUGUUAAGUUUGGACAAACCUGACUUGCACAACUUUACAACAAAUAAUUUACGCUAUGUGCAUUCUGAUUAUUUAACAUAGCUCAAUGAAAUAGUUUAUCACUGGGCAUGUAACAAAAGUGAAUUCAUUAAAUUUGAACGUGUUGCAAAAAUGAUGUCUUACAGUAAAUUCAUUCUGGCUUAGAAUGUCGGAAGAGAAAAAAGUUUGUGAAAAGAAGGAAUGACGGCAA